ACGGCAGACUUUUUUUUAAUGGGGUGGUUUACCAUUGCCUUCCCCAGUCAUCUACACUUUCUCAAGAUAUUUAAAAUCUGGGUCUGUCAGACACAUGAACUGAAGUGCUUGUUCUUCAGCGCUUUGCCUGGGGAUUGUAACCUAAAAUGGGUAUGAAGAUUUCUUGAUGACAGGAUUGCUACUAGCCAGAGUUGUAUCCUGUUGUAUUAUUGAAGAUGUCACAGAGGAACUUUGUUCCCCACCCCCAGCAGGACUUGAAUCCUUGCCGGGAGAGACCAUUGGUUCUCCAUGUAUUUGCCUUCCCAAGAGAAUUGUCGAGCUGACUGGGCAAUGUCUGCCUCCAGCCUGAGCAGUGUUUUAUGAUAAUUAUUUCAGGCUUCUAAAUGUUUUAUGCUGUGGAUGUUAAUAUUUGAUUAUUUUAAUGUUUUAUUAUUUUAUCAUGUUUUAUUUUGUAAGUCACCUCAAACAGGUUCUCUGGAGAGGCAGUAGACAAAUUUUCCAAAUACAUAAUAAAUAGAUAAGAAUGAUUGUU